rnacentral:rRNA from 1 species
CCUACGGGUGGCAGCAGUGGGGAAUAUUGCACAAUGGGGGGAACCCUGAUGCAGCAAUGCCGCGUGAAGGAUGAAGGUUUUCGGAUUGUAAACUUCUUUUUUUCGGGACGCAGAAAGUGACGGUACCGUACGAAUAAGCCACGGCUAACUACGUGCCAGCAGCCGCGGUAAUCAGUAGGUGGCAAGCGUUAUCCGGAUUUACUCGGUGUAAAGGGCGAGUAGGCGGGAUUGCAAGUCAGAUGUGAAAACUAUGGGGCCAACCGAUAGAGUGCAUUUGAAACUGCAGUUCUUGAGUGAUGGAGAGGCACGCGGAAUUCGCGGUGUAGCGGUGGAAUGCGUAGAUAUCGGGAAGAACACCAGUGGCGAAGGCAGCCUGCUGGACAUUAACUGACGCUGAGGCGCGAAAGCGUGGGGAGCAAACAGGAUUAGAUACCCCUGUAGUC